rnacentral:rRNA from 1 species
GACGAACGCUGGCGGCGUGCUUAACACAUGCAAGUCGAACGGAAAGGCCCUGCUUUUGUGGGGUGCUCGAGUGGCGAACGGGUGAGUAACACGUGAGUAACCUGCCCUUGUCUUUGGGAUAACUUCAGGAAACUGGGGCUAAUACCGGAUAGGAUCUCCUGCUGCACGGUGGGGGUUGGAAAGUUUCGGCGGUUGGGGAUGGACUCGCGGCUUAUCCGCUUGUUGGUGAGGUAGUGGCUUACCAAGGCUGUGACGGGUAGCCGGCCUGAGAGGGUGACCGGCCACAAUGGGACUGAGGUACGGCCCAGACUCCUACGGGAGGCAGCAGGGGGGAAUAUUGCAGAGUGGGCGGAAGCCUGAUGCAGCAACGCCGCGUGCGGGAAGACGGCCUUCGGGUUGUAAACCGCUUUCGCCUGUGACGAAGCGUGAGUGACGGUAAUGGGUAAAGAAGCACCGGCUAACUACGUG